rnacentral:misc_RNA from 1 species
AGGAUCAUUACCGAGUGCAGGUCUGCCCCCGGGCAGGCCUAACCUCCCACCCGUGAAUACCUGACCAACGUUGCUUCGGCGGUGCGCCUCCCCCCGGGGGGGCAGCCGCCGGGGACCACACCGAACCUCUUGUCUUUAGUGUUGUCUGAGCUUGAUAGCAAACCUAUUAAAACUUUCAACAAUGGAUCUCUUGGUUCCGGCAUCGAUGAAGAACGCAGCGAACUGCGAUAAGUAAUGUGAAUUGCAGAAUUCAGUGAAUCAUCGAGUCUUUGAACGCACAUUGCGCCCCCUGGCAUUCCGGGGGGCAUGCCUGUCCGAGCGUCAUUGCUGCCCUUCAAGCCCGGCUUGUGUGUUGGGUCGUCGUCCCCCCCGGGGGACGGGCCCGAAAGGCAGCGGCGGCACCGCGUCCGGUCCUCGAGCGUAUGGGGCUUUGUCACCCGCUCGAUAAGGGCCGGCCGGGCGCCAGCCGGCGUCUCCAACCUUCUAUUUUUUACCAGGUUGACCUCGGAUCAGGUAGGGAUACCCGCUGAACUUAA